rnacentral:misc_RNA from 1 species
GAUGAAGAACGCAGCAAAAUGCGAUAAGUAAUGUGAAUUGCAGAAUUCAGUGAAUCAUCGAAUCUUUGAACGCACAUUGCGCCCGCCAGUAUUCUGGCGGGCAUGCCUGUUCGAGCGUCAUUUCAACCCUCAAGCACAGCUUGGUGUUGGGACUCGCGUUAAUUCGCGUUCCUCAAAUUGAUUGGCGGUCACGUCGAGCUUCCAUAGCGUAGUAGUAAAACCCUCGUUACUGGUAAUCGUCGCGGCCACGCCGUUAAACCCCAACUUCUGAAUGUUGACCUCGGAUCAGGUAGGAAUACCCGCUGAACUUAAGCAUAUCAAUAAGCGGAGGA